rnacentral:rRNA from 1 species
GGACUACAGGGGUAUCUAAUCCGGAUCGCUCCCCACGCUUUCGCGCCUCAGCGUCAGGCCGGGCCCAGGCAGCCGCCUUCGCCACUGGUGUUCCUCCGGAGCUCUACGCAUUCCACCACUACACCCGGAAUUCCACUGCCCUCUACCCGCCUCCAGCCUCGCAGUCUCGCCCGACCCCUCCGAGUUAAGCCCGGAGAUUUCACGGCCGACUUGCCAGGCCGCCUGCGCGCGCUUUACGCCCAAUGAAUCCGGACAACGCUCGCCCCCUACGUAUUACCGCGGCGGCUGGCAC